CUCACCCCCUCGGCACGCAACCCGAUGGACUGCAUCUCUCCGUUUGCCGGAUGCAGCGCGUAGGCAUCGUCGUCGAUUCUCGUCCCCAGACUUUCGACUGAUACAUCUCGAGUGACACGUUCGGCGUCCCUCACAUGGGAUGGGAUUGAAUUACAGAGUUGCAAAUUUAGUUCCCCAUUCACGUUCUCCAGUUUGUCGCGUGAGAAUUAAUAGCGUUUACUAUAUUAUGAACAAUCGAAUGAGAGUGCGUUUUUAUGAUCGAACAGAUACUUCGUAUCGAUGCAAUCUUGAUUCUUUACGUAAUCCUUUAUAUAAUAAUUUCGAAGUAUUCUUUAAAGUUCAGCAAUAUCCCGCGAGACAUUCUGUGCUUAUCGGCAAAUGAGUUUUUCCCCAAGAUCCAUUUUGCAAAUUCUAGCGCAGAAUAAAAGAAAAUUAAAAAAAAGUCUCCCAUAAAUUUAGAUGACUUCGAGCACUUCUUGUACUUCUUAUCUCCCAAUCAUCAAGCGAUUUCGUAAUUCUGUUGCAGAGCAAUGAAACGACAGGCCCCGGGCGGGCAAGUUAUUUGGGAAUCCGCGGGGAUCCCCAAAUAGCACGAUGAGCGGCCUCCAUCGAAUCUUCCUGUAUAUCGUCCGACACAGUUCUGGUGCGACUACCUUUUUUUUAAUUUUUUCCUGCGACGCUAUCUUUUGAUGAGUUAAGAAGAUUUGACAUUUCAUGAUAAACAACAAAUUUCAAAGUACUAGCAGUCAUUAGUUCUGCUAUUAAAUGUGUCAGUACCUUAAUGACCACUCAUCAAAAGAACACUUUGUACUUCGUACCGCAUACGGAAGAUCAAACAGACAAGAAAAUGGAGGAUUGCAAAAACAUACCGAUAUUGAUCCGGAUUUUAUGAAAAACAUUGUAACUAAUAAUGAAACAUGGUGUUUUAGAUAUAAAAUUCACAAAGCGACAGAAGAAAUUGCGCAUGCAGAAGAGCCGGAUCUAGACAUUGCUCACUGUUUUCUUCGAUUAGGAAAGAAUCGUCUACAAGGAAUUUAUAUGGAAAGAUCAAACAGUGAAUACCGAUUAUUAUUUAAAUUCUAAAUCGUUUGUGGAACAGGAUUCUUCAAGUUCAGCCUGAGAGGAAAGAUCUUGGUCGUUUCUGCACGAUAAUGCACGAUACACAAAUCCAAAAUCUACGCGAUUUCAUAACCAGAAAAGACAUCGUGCCUUUUGUAUUCACCUGAUUUGGCUCCAUGUGACUUCCAGUUAUUCUUAAAAUUCAAAUUGGCAAUGAAAGGAAAGUGUUACGAGACCAUUUGCGACAUCUAAAAAGUCUCAAUCGCGGUUUUCGAAAACGGAGUACAUUGACGGUUUCGAAAAAUUUUUUAAUCACUUCCGACGUUAUAUUGACUUAGAAGAAGAAUGUAUUUUGAAUAAAAAAUAGAAAUAAAAAAUAA